rnacentral:rRNA from 1 species
GACGAACGCUGGCGGCGUGCUUAACACAUGCAAGUCGAACGGAAAGGCCCUGCUUGCAGGGUGCUCGAGUGGCGAACGGGUGAGUAACACGUGGGUGAUCUGCCCCUUACUUUGGGAUAAGCCUGGGAAACUGGGUCUAAUACUGGAGAGAACCAUGCUGUAUGUGGUGUGGUGGAAAGAUUAGUUUCGGUAAGGGAUGAGCUCGCGGCCUAUCAGCUUGUUGGUGGGGGAAUGGCCUACCAAGGCGUCGACGGGUAGCCGGCCUGAGAGGGUGGAAGGCCACAUUGGGACUGAGAUACAGCCCAGAGUCCUACGCGGGGCAGCAGUGGGGAGUAUUGUACACUGGGGGCAAGACUGAGGCAGCGAAGCGGCGUGGGGGAUGAGGGCCUUCGGGUUGUAAACUCCUUUCAGCCAUGACGAAGCCCUUGUGGUGACGGUAGUGGUAGAAGAAGCACCGGCUAACUACGUG